ACUCCUACGGGAGGCAGCAGUGGGGAAUCUUGGACAAUGGGGAACCCUGAUCCAGCCAUGCCGCGUGAGCGAUGAAGGCCUUAGGGUUGUAAAGCUCUUUCAGGUGGGAAGAUAAUGACGGUACCACCAGAAGAAGCCCCGCUAACAUCCGUGCCAGCAGCCGCGGUAAUACGGAGGGGCGUAGCGUUGUUCGGAAUUACUGGGCGUAAAGCGCACGUAGGCGGAUU
rnacentral:rRNA from 1 species